rnacentral:rRNA from 1 species
CGCUGGCGGCAGGCCUAACACAUGCAAGUCGAGCGGAUGAGAGGAGCUUGCUCCUGGAUUCAGCGGCGGACGGGUGAGUAAUGCCUAGGAAUCUGCCUGGUAGUGGGGGACAACGUUUCGAAAGGAGCGCUAAUACCGCAUACGUCCUACGGGAGAAAGCAGGGGACCUUCGGGCCUUGCGCUAUCAGAUGAGCCUAGGUCGGAUUAGCUAGUUGGUGAGGUAAUGGCUCACCAAGGCGACGAUCCGUAACUGGUCUGAGAGGAUGAUCAGUCACACUGGAACUGAGACACGGUCCAGACUCCUACGGGAGGCAGCAGUGGGGAAUAUUGGACAAUGGGCGAAAGCCUGAUCCAGCCAUGCCGCGCGUGUGAAGAAGGUCUUCGGAUUGUAAAGCACUUUAAGUUGGGAGGAAGGGCUGUAACUUAAUACGUUGCUGUUUUGACGUUACCGACAGAAUAAGCACCGGCU